rnacentral:rRNA from 1 species
CAAGGCAACCCGCUGAACUUAAGAAU